AUGCCAACUUUGCCCGCGGCAGGACUAGACAAUCCGUUCUCUGAACAAGAGGUGUGGGAGGCCAUCUGCAAAUCUCCACAACAAAAAUCGCCGGGGCCAGACGGAUUCAACGUCUCCUUCUUCCGUUCAUGCUGGCCCAUAAUCAAGGAUGAUGUGAUGGCAGCCUUUCGUCAGUCCUAUAACCUCACUGGGCGAGACAUGUCCGUGAUCAACUGCGCGACAAUCACUCUUCUCCCUAAGAAGGACGGGGCGACUGAGAUCAAGGAUUACAAACCCAUCAGCCUGAUCCACUCCAUCGCAAAGCUCAUCUCCAAGGUUCUCUGCAUUAGGCUUGCCUCCAUGAUCGACGCAAUCAUCUCUCCUGCGCAGUCGGCUUUUCUAAAGAAGAAGUGUAUCCAUGACAGCUUCCUCUACGUGCAAAACUCCGCCAGGGCCCUGCAUCGUCGCAAAGUUCCGUGCCUUCUGAUGAAGAUAGAUAUAGCGAAAGCCUUCGACACGGUCUCCUGGGAGUACCUUCUCGAGCUAAUGCAGAAACUAGGGUUUAGCUCUCACUGGCGGGACUGGGUCGCGCGCCUUCUGGCCACGGCUUCUUCUUCGGUCGCUCUGAACGGCAGGACAUGCCCUAGUUUCCUGCACUUCAGAGGUUUGCGGCAGGGCGACCCG
rnacentral:rRNA from 1 species